GGAGAAAUUCUCGAAUUUAAUAAAACAAAUUAAUGCAAAUUCAUUUCACUUGAAAUGAAUUUCAUUUCACUUGCCAUGUGCUACUUUUAGAAGAGGGGUAGGUCGGAGUGAAAUGAAAUCAAAACAGAGUCUGCCUUCCAGAAAGGCUUACAAUCACUGAUUAAUACUGGAAGUCCAGACAGGGAGAGGGUGUGGCCAUCAUCUGUAAUUUAUUCAUAAAUUGCCAGCUCUUCCCAGAUAACUUUUGAAAUAAAACGUGACACAUGUUUAAAUAUUUACUGGCCUGCUGACCUAUUUUUUUUUUUUUCGGUUAAUUAGAAUUUUUUUUUAAAGAAAACAAACAUUGUGACAUCAAACUAAUGCAGACAGCCUCCACAGUGAGAUAGCUCAGGCAGGCUACAGUCAAGUAUUAUUGAGAUUUACCAAAAUUGUAUCCAAGGGAGAAAAUUAAUUGGAAAUAUCAGAAAUAGCCUCUGAAUGUAAAAAGACUGAGGCUACCCCCCUAACUUUCCCCACCUGUGUUUAUUAAAUUAUCACAAUAGAUGUAAAAACAUUUGUACAAACUAUAAAGAGUUUUCAGCCAUUGUCAUUCUGUUAUUUCCCCUUAAAUGUGUGUUUAGCCCCAAACCUCCUUUCCUCCAAGAAGAGGUUGACUGAGCAAUUCUGUAGCUGUUCCUACAAAACAAAAAAGCUAUUUUAAGAUGUUGCAUUUGAGUCCUUUCCCUCUUUUAACUUUUAAUGGCUUUGUGCUUUAGUAAGAGGCCUCAGGUUAACAUGUCCUACUCACUCCCCUCUGGAGCUUCUGUGGAGCCAGGCUUAGAGGACCUUCAAGAUCGGAGUAACAGAGGGGGUUUAUGUCGCUUGACUACAGGCCUAUGGACUCCAGCUGCCCCUGCCAAAAAAGAGUUUAGUCAGAAUGUUGCAGCAAAAAAUAUCUGAUACAUGGCAGGAAUUGUAGCCAAUGGCUGCCAUGACAACUACUGUGGCGUUCCAGUUGCUGGGCUAGAGAAGUAAGGGGGCCCCCACGGAGGGGCUGCAGGAGGAGAAAUUGUCAUGGAAAGGGAAUGACAUUUUUUGGUGGUCACAGAAUUUCUCUCAAUGGGCUAGAUUUAAAGACAGUGUUGCAGCUGCAAGGUAAAACUCGUAACAAUGGCAUGUCAGUUAAUUAUGGAUAGCUGCGUAUUGCACAUGCACUUAAUCUUUGCAGUAACCAAAAGAGGUCAAUAAUUUUGUGAUCCACUUUUCCCUGAUGAGGAAGCUGAGGCUCAGAGGUCUGGCUAACCCUUCUGCAUCGCUUCACUAUUUUGCCUGAGCUGGCAGCCGAGCUGGAGAAAAGGAAGCCCUAACUCUGAAUCCGGAGAUUUCCCUCACCCGCUUUGAUGCUUGCUCUGCAGGGCAGGCCUUGAAAGAUCUACAGCCUCUGGUUUUGUAUGCUUGGAACACUCCCUCUUGGAACCCAGCCACCAUGGUAGAAGAUGCCACAAAGAGGAGAACACAAUUGCUUCCCACAUUCUUCAACAGCCCCAUUGGAGCUCCCAGAUGAUAGCCAGUACUAACCACCAGCCAUAAUUUCUGGAACGCUCUCACUUGUGAACACACAAAUUACCUAGGUCUCCGUGUGUCUCAUGAUUGAAGCCAGGGAACAGAGCCACCCAUCCCAGAAUUCAGGAGGAAAGAGUCUUGGAAGUGAUGCCCAGUGAGCUAAAGGAAGCUGGGGAAAGAACAGAACCUGUCUCUUUCCUACACGCCCAAUUAAAAAGAUGUUUUUGCUGCUGAA